UGCAAGUCGAGGGGCAGCACGGUGUAGCAAUACAUUGGUGGCGACCGGCSCMCGGGUGCGUAACGCGUAUACAAUUUGCCUUAUACUGGGAGAUAGCCCGGAGAAAUUCGGAUUAAUAUCCCAUAAUAUUUUUUCACCGCAUGGUGAGAAUCUUAAAGCUACGGCGGUAUAAGAUGAGUAUGCGUCUGAUUAGCUAGUUGGUGAGGUAAUGGCUCACCAAGGCAACGAUCAGUAGGGGGCCUGAGAGGGUUAUCCCCCACACUGGAACUGAGACACGGUCCAGACUCCUACGGGAGGCAGCAGUGAGGAAUAUUGGUCAAUGGAGGCAACUCUGAACCAGCCAUGCCACGUGUAGGACGAAUGCCCUCUGGGUUGUAAACUACUUUUAUUGGGGAAGAAACCCUCUUACGUGUAAGAGGCUGACGGUACCCAAGGAAUAAGGACCGGCUAACUCCGUGCCAGCAGCCGCGGUAAUACGGAGGGUCCAAGCGUUAUCCGGAAUCAUUGGGUUUAAAGGGUGCGCAGGCGGUAAAGUAAGUCAGUGGUGAAAUCUCUCGGCUCAACCGAGAAACUGCCAUUGAUACUGCUAUACUUGAGUAUAGUUGCUGUGGGCGGAAUAUGACAUGUAGUGGUGAAAUACUUAGAGAUGUCAUAGAACACCGAUUGCGAAGGCAGCUCACAAAACUAUAACUGACACUGAGGCUCGAAAGUGCGGGGAUCAAACAGGAUUAGAUACCCUGGUAGUCCGCACUGUAAACGAUGAUUACUCGUUGCUGGGAAGCAAUUUUCAGUGACUAAGCGAAAGCGAUAAGUAAUCCACCUGGGGAGUACGCCGGCAACGGUGAAACUCAAAGGAAUUGACGGGGGCCCGCACAAGCGGAGGAGCAUGUGGUUUAAUUCGAUGAUACGCGAGGAACCUUACCAGGGCUUGAAAGUUAGUGACCGACUCUGAAAGGAGUC
rnacentral:rRNA from 1 species